rnacentral:rRNA from 1 species
AUACGGAGGGUCCAAGCGUUAUCCGGAAUCAUUGGGUUUAAAGGGUGCGCAGGCGGUUUAUUAAGUCAGUGGUGAAAUCUCGGGGCUCAACCUCGAAACUGCCAUUGAUACUGAUAAACUUGAGUUCAGUUGGAGUAGGCGGAAUGUGUAGUGUAGCGGUGAAAUGCUUAGAUAUUACACAGAACACCGAUAGCGAAGGCAGCUUACUAAACUGAUCCUGACGCUGAGGCACGAAAGCGUGGGGAGCGAACAGGAUUAGAAACCCUAGUAGUCC